rnacentral:lncRNA from 1 species
GAAAAUGUGGACCCUCGGACGAGACAGGUGCAUAAUACUCAACGUCCACAACGUGCUUGUAGCCGUCCAGAGAUUUACUAGGAGGCUGUCAAUUUUUUACAUGAAACAUCAGAUCGAACAGACUUAAGAACAUUCCAAUUCAAGGAACACCAUUUAUACGUGCAUUAAAUACGCUGCCUGUCACAAAAGCUCAUUAUUU